rnacentral:rRNA from 1 species
AAGACUGGGAUAACUUCGGGAAACCGGAGCUAAUACCGGAUAAUAUUUUGAACCGCAUGGUUCAAAAGUGAAAGACGGUCUUGCUGUCACUUAUAGAUGGAUCCGCGCUGCAUUAGCUAGUUGGUAAGGUAACGGCUUACCAAGGCAACGAUGCAUAGCCGACCUGAGAGGGUGAUCGGCCACACUGGAACUGAGACACGGUCCAGACUCCUACGGGAGGCAGCAGUAGGGAAUCUUCCGCAAUGGGCGAAAGCCUGACGGAGCAACGCCGCGUGAGUGAUGAAGGUCUUCGGAUCGUAAAACUCUGUUAUUAGGGAAGAACAUAUGUGUAAGUAACUGUGCACAUCUUGACGGUACCUAAUCAGAAAGCCACGGCUAACUACGUGCCAGCAGCCGCGGUAAUACGUAGGUGGCAAGCGUUAUCCGGAAUUAUUGGGCGUAAAGCGCGCGUAGGCGGUUUUUUAAGUCUGAUGUGAAAGCCCACGGCUCAACCGUGGAGGGUCAUUGGAAACUGGAAAACUUGAGUGCAGAAGAGGAAAGUGGAAUUCCAUGUGUAGCGGUGAAAUGCGCAGAGAUAUGGAGGAACACCAGUGGCGAAGGCGACUUUCUGGUCUGUAACUGACGCUGAUGUGCGAAAGCGUGGGGAUCAAACAGGAUUAGAUACCCUGGUAGUCCACGCCGUAAACGAUGAGUGCUAAGUGUUAGGGGGUUUCCGCCCCUUAGUGCUGCAGCUAACGCAUUAAGCACUCCGCCUGGGGAGUACGACCGCAAGGUUGAAACUCAAAGGAAUUGACGGGGACCCGCACAAGCGGUGGAGCAUGUGGUUUAAUUCGAAGCAACGCGAAGAACCUUACCAAAUCUUGACAUCCUUUGACAACUCUAGAGAUAGAGCCUUCCCCUUCGGGGGACAAAGUGACAGGUGGUGCAUGGUUGUCGUCAGCUCGUGUCGUGAGAUGUUGGGUUAAGUCCCGCAACGAGCGCAACCCUUAAGCUUAGUUGCCAUCAUUAAGUUGGGCACUCUAAGUUGACUGCCGGUGACAAACCGGAGGAAGGUGGGGAUGACGUCAAAUCAUCAUGCCCCUUAUGAUUUGGGCUACACACGUGC